UGCAAAAAUCCGUCCAUAUGUGCUUAAUAAUUAUAUUCAGUAUACUGAAUCACUAUAGUGAUUUAAAUUGAACAUUUUGAUAAAUAUUAUUUAUUACUUAUUUGUAAAUAUUAGUAAAGAAAAUUGUGCUUAUAUACUUUUUCAAGUGUUCCAAUAUAAUUGAGUUCUUAAGAUGGAUAAAACAAAUGCGGAAAUUUGUAAGGACUGUCACAAUUGGAAGAUGCUAUGGCAGUGGACAUAAUUUAAAAAUAACAUUCGAACAAUAUAACAAAAUUUAUGUUAUACUUAAUAGAAGAAAAUCAAUAUUUAUUUAUUUAAUUUUUUAAAUUUUAACUAAUUUUUAUCAAAUGUGUUGCCGAUCUUUUUCUAGUUCUUUUAUUAUUAUAUUGUAAUUAAUUAUUUGUAUUUAUACUGUAUAUUUUCAGAUUCUGAAUGAUUUUUAUAACUCAAUAAAUAACCAGUUAUUUUAAAGUUA